rnacentral:rRNA from 1 species
AGUCGAACGGUAACAUGAGAGCUUGCUCUUGAUGACGAGUGGCGCACGGGUGCGUAACGCGUAUGCAACUUACCCCAAACUGGAGGAUAGCCUUUAGAAAUGAAGAAUAAUACUCCAUAGUAUUCCGAGAAGGCAUCUUCUUGGUCUUAAAGCUUCGGCGGUUUGGGAUAGGCAUGCGUUCUAUUAGUUAGUUGGUAAGGUAACGGCUUACCAAGACCACGAUAGAUAGGGGGCCUGAGAGGGUUAUCCCCCACACUGGUACUGAGACACGGACCAGACUCCUGCGGGAGGCAGCAGUGAGGAAUAUUCCACAAUGGACGAAAGUCUGAUGGAGCCAUGCCGCGUGCAGGAUGAAUGCCCUAUGGGUUGUAAACUGCUUUUAUAUAGGAAGAACAUUUUCUACGUGUAGAGAACUGACGGUACUAUAAGAAUAAGGACCGGCUAACUCCGUGCCAGCAGCCGCGGUAAUACGGAGGGUCCAAGCGUUAUCCGGAUUUAUUGGGUUUAAAGGGUCCGUAGGCGGGAAAAUAAGUCAGUGGUGAAAGCCUACAGCUCAACUGUAGAACUGCCAUUGAAACUGUUUUUCUUGAAUUUAGAUGAAGUGGGCGGAAUAUAUCAUGUAGCGGUGAAAUGCAUAGAUAUGAUAUAGAACACCGAUUGCGAAGGCAGCUCACUAAACUAAUAUUGACGCUGAGGGACGAAAGCGUGGGGAGCGAACAGGAUUAGAUACCCUGGUAGUCCACGCCGUAAACGAUGAUUACUCGGUGCUAGCGAUAUACUGUUAGUGCCUAAGCGAAAGCGAUAAGUAAUCCACCUGGGGAGUACGGUCGCAAGAUUGAAACUCAAAGGAAUUGAC